GGGGUUGUGGCUCAGCGGUAGAGCACUUGCCUAGCAUGCAUGAAGCUCUUGGUUCAAUCUCCAGCACCA
rnacentral:tRNA from 1 species